GUAGGGUGCGAGCGUUAAUCGGAAUUACUGGGCGUAAAGCGUGCGCAGGCGGCUUUGCAAGACAGAUGUGAAAUCCCCGGGCUCAACCUGGGAACUGCAUUUGUGACUGCAAGGCUAGAGUACGGCAGAGGGGGAUGGAAUUCCGCGUGUAGCAGUGAAAUGCGUAGAUAUGCGGAGGAACACCRAUGGCGAAGGCAAUCCCCUGGGCCUGUACUGACGCUCAUGCACGAAAGCGUGGGGAGCAAACAGGAUUAGAUACCCUGGUAGUCCACGCCCUAAACGAUGUCAACUGGUUGUUGGACGGCUUGCUGUUCAGUAACGAAGCUAACGCGUGAAGUUGACCGCCUGGGGAGUACGGCCGCAAGGUUGAA
rnacentral:rRNA from 1 species